CCUACGGGAGGCAGCAGUGAGGAAUAUUGGUCAAUGGGAGAGAUCCUGAACCAGCCAAGCCGCGUGAGGGAAGACGGCCCUAUGGGUUGUAAACCUCUUUUGUCGGAGAACAAAACCCGGGACGAGUCCCGGACUGCGUGUAUCCGACGAACAAGCAUCGGCUCACUCCGUGCCAGCAGCCGCGGUAAGACGGAGGAUGCGUGGGUUAUCCGGAUUUAUUGGGUUUAAAGGGUGCGUAGGCGGUCUGUUAAGUCAGCGGUAAAAGUGCGGGGCUCAACCCCGGCGAGCCGUUGAUACUGGCAGACUUGAGUUGGCGAGAAGUAAGCGGAAUGCGCGGUGUAGCGGUGAAAUGCAUAGAUAUCGCGCAGAACUCCGAUUGCGAAGGCAGCGUACCGGAGCCAGACUGACGCUGAGGCACGAAGGCGUGGGGAUCGAACAGGAUUAGAUACCCCUGUAGUC
rnacentral:rRNA from 1 species